rnacentral:rRNA from 1 species
AACGAACGCUGGCGGCAUGCCUAACACAUGCAAGUCGAACGAGACCUUCGGGUCUAGUGGCGCACGGGUGCGUAACGCGUGGGAAUCUGCCCUUGGGUUCGGAAUAACAGUUGGAAACGACUGCUAAUACCGGAUGAUGACGUAAGUCCAAAGAUUUAUCGCCCAGGGAUGAGCCCGCGUAGGAUUAGCUAGUUGGUGAGGUAAAGGCUCACCAAGGCGACGAUCCUUAGCUGGUCUGAGAGGAUGAUCAGCCACACUGGGACUGAGACACGGCCCAGACUCCUACGGGAGGCAGCAGUGGGGAAUAUUGGACAAUGGGCGAAAGCCUGAUCCAGCAAUGCCGCGUGAGUGAUGAAGGCCUUAGGGUUGUAAAGCUCUUUUACCCGGGAUGAUAAUGACAGUACCGGGAGAAUAAGCUCCGGCUAACCCCGUG